CAUUUUGAUAGUAGUUCUAAGAAUUUCAUCAUAACAUAUGAUUUCUAUUUUGAAAGAUGUAUUCCUUAUGAUGAAUCUACCAAAUAAUAUUUAUUUAUAUACUUAUUUGGAGUACAAUCAUCUACAACCUAUAUGAUUGACUUUAGGGCAUAUUUUCCAACAAAAAAUCUUAGAUCAGCUUAUAUUGAAACUCAUCCUUUGAUCGACCUUGAGAUGCUAAAAGCCUUUAAUCGACUUAUAUUGAAACUUGGCCUU
rnacentral:lncRNA from 1 species